UACCAGCACCCCCGAGUGGUCGGGACGAUUAUUGGGCCUAAAGCAUCCGUAGCCGGUCCUACAAGUCUUCCGUUAAAUCCACCUGCUCAACAGAUGGGCUGCGGAAGAUACUAUAGGGCUAGGAGGCGGGAGAGGCAAGCGGUACUCAGUGGGUAGGGGUAAAAUCCUCUGAUCCAUUGAAGACCACCAGUGGCGAAAGCGGCUCUCUGGGGGUUUUCUGGACGCUGAGGCGCGGAAAGCGUGGGGAGCGAACCGG
rnacentral:rRNA from 1 species